rnacentral:rRNA from 1 species
AUUGAACGCUGGCGGCAGGCCUAACACAUGCAAGUCGAGCGAGCGGCGGACGGGUGAGUAAUGUCUGGGAAACUGCCUGAUGGAGGGGGAUAACUACUGGAAACGGUAGCUAAUACCGCCUACCAUCAGCUGUGCCCAGAUGGGAUUAGCUAGUAGGUGGGGUAACGGCUCACCUAGGCGACGAUCCCUAGCUGGUCUGAGAGGAUGACCAGCAAAACUAGAACUGAGACACGGUCCAGAGUACUACGGGAGGCAGAAGUGGGGAAUAUUGCACAAUGGGCGAAAGCCUGAUGCAGCCAUGCCGCGUGUAUGAAGAAGGCCUUCGGGUUGUAAAGUACUUUCAGCGGGGAGGCGUUACCCGCAGAAGAAGCACCGGCUAACUCCGUGCCAGCCGCCGCGGUAAUUC